UACGGGGGGAGCAAGCGUUGUUCGGAUUUACUGGGCGUAAAGGGCGCGUAGGCGGUCAGCACAAGUCAGUUGUGAAAUCUCCGGGCUUAACUCGGAAAGGUCAACUGAUACUGUGCGACUAGAGUGCAGAAGGGGCAACUGGAAUUCUCGGUGUAGCGGGGAAAUGCGUAGAUAUCGAGAGGAACACCUGCGGCGAAGGCGGGUUGCUGGGCUGACACUGACGCUGAUGCGCGAAAGCCAGGGGAGCGAACGGG
rnacentral:rRNA from 1 species